GAUGAACGCUAGCGGCGUGCCUAAUACAUGCAAGUCGAGCGAAUGGAUUAAGAGCUUGCUCUUAUGAAGUUAGCGGCGGACGGGUGAGUAACACGUGAGUAACCUGCCCAUAAGACUGGGAUAACUCCGGGAAACCGGGGCUAAUACCGGAUAACCUUUUGAACCGCAUGGUUCGAAAUUGAAAGGCGGAUUCGGCUGUCACUUAUGGAUGGACCCGCGUUGCAUUAGCUAGUUGGUGAGGUAACGGCUCACCAAGGCAACGAUGCGUAGCCGACCUGAGAGGGUGAUCGGCCACACUGGGACUGAGACACGGCCCAGACUCCUACGGGAGGCAGCAGUAGGGAAUCUUCCGCAAUGGACGAAAGUCUGACGGAGCAACGCCGCGUGAGUGAUGAAGGCUUUCGGGUCGUAAAACUCUGUUGUUAGGGAAGAACAAGUGCUAGUUGAAUAAGCUGGCACCUUGACGGUACCUAACCAGAAAGCCACGGCUAACUACGUGCCAGCCGCCGCAGUAA
rnacentral:rRNA from 1 species